rnacentral:lncRNA from 1 species
CUACGAAGAGGGUACGCCUCCCCCGGAGAGAGUACACCUCCCCCGGACAGAGUACACCUCCCCUGACAGGGUACGCCUGCAGGUGAUGUGGUGUCUGACGACCACCGUGAGGAAUGCAUCCCUUGACACCUACGAAGAGGGUACGCCUCCCCCGGACAGGGUACACCUCCCCCGGAUAGAGUACACCUCCCCAGGACAGGGUACACCUCCCUCUGAC